AACCUUAGGGAUAACAGCGUAAUUAUUCUAGAGAGUUCACAUUGAUAGAAUAGAUUGCGACCUCGAUGUUGGAUUAAAAUUAAAUUUUAGUGCAGAAGCUAAGAUUUUAGGUCUGUUCGACCUUUAAAAUUUUACAUGAUCUGAGUUUAAACCGGUUUGAGCCAGGUUGGUUUCUAUCUUUAAUUUGUAAAAAAUUUUUAGUACGAAAGGACCAAAAUUUUAAGUUA
rnacentral:rRNA from 1 species